GGACAGUUAGCUCAGUAGGUAGAGCGAUGGAAUCAUAAUCCGUAUGUCACAGGUUCAAAUCCUGUACUGUCCA
rnacentral:tRNA from 1 species